UCCUGACAUUAGAAAAAAGCUUCACAAAUUGGAAUCUGGCCCUCAAACCCCACAACAGGAGUAAUCAACCUUGCCUUCAAGGUGUUCAACAAUAGAGAAGAGUCAGCCAAGUGGCAAUGUAUUUCUGAGCUGCAACUGCUUGCCUCCACUGUGAGACAAACCUCAGCCACGCCUUCGGCACAGAAAAACUUCAGAACAACCAAACCACAGCCUCCAGGCACUCCUUCAGGACCUCCUCUCCCAGGACCUUGCCUCAAAUGCCACAAAACUGGCCACUGGGCCAAGGAAUGCCCGCAGCCCAUGAUUCCUCCUAAGCCAUGUCCCACCUGUGCAGGACCCCACUGGAAAUCAGACCACCCAACUAAUAUUGCAGCCACUUCUAGGGCUCCUGGAGCUCCAGCUCAAAGCUCUCUGGCUGACUCCUUCCCAGAUCUCCCCAGUUUAGGGGCUGAAGACUGACACUGCCCAAUCACCUCAGAAGACCCCUGGACCAUCACGGAUGCUGAGCUUCAGGUACCAUGUAAACAUGCCACCAUCUGCCAUUGAAUAAGGAGAAGCUUCCUUUCUUAGUAAAAAUUCUACCAAGGGUGACCUUUCGCUUAGAGUUCCAGGGCUGCAUGUUAAUGUUUAUCUGGGACCAUAAGCAGUUAUCAUCAAGGCUAAGCUGCCACCCAGAAGAGCUGCCAAAACCAAGUCGGGCACUCAUCGAAUCUCUGCCUCUUUCUCUCUCUCUGGCUCUGCUCCACCAGGGACCCCCUGAAUUCUCAAAUGGCCUCCAAGAUAUCUGCUCCCUAUGGAUACGGUGGGAUAUCACUCCAGGGAUUAUGUUCUUUCACAUGGAAAAAAGGAUUUUGGGAGAUAUAAUUAAAGGGAGAGUAUUUAGAUAGGAUGGACCUUAUCACAUGAGCCCUUUAAAUCUGGGUCUAGAAGUCAGUGGCAGAAGAGCAGAGAUUCAAAGUAGCAGAGAUGUACCCCUCCUGGCUUUGAAGGAGCAACUGAUAUGCUGUGGAGAGGACCACACGGCAGGCAACGGCAGGUCUUCUCUAACAGCAGAGAGAGGACCACACGGCAGGCAACGGCAGGUCUUCUCUAACAGCAGAGAACCAUCCAGCUCAACAGCCAGAGAGAAAACAAGAACAUCAGUCCUACAGCCACAGGGAACUACAUUCUGUCAAUGUUCUUAAUGGGCGUGGAAGAAAGCCAUGAGGUCAUAAGAUAGCCCCAAAGAACCCCUUGAGGUCUUCCAAGUAAACUGGGCAAAGAAUUCAGUGAUGCUGUGCCAAAAUUCUGACCCACGGAAUCUGUGAGGUCAUACAGUUGCAUUUUCAGCUGCUAAUUCGGGUCAUUUGUUACGCAGCAAUAGAAAACUAAUGCAAACCCUUUCACUUUGAGGCAGAAAGGACCUAAGUUGACCCUGAUUAUUCUUGACUCCCAGUGUUUAUAUGGUUGUGUAAUCCUCUCUCCUUAAGUGUGAGUGUGGUCUGAGACUUGUUUCUAAUGGUAGAAUA